GGACCAAAUAAGAGUAGACCACGGCAAAGAGUUCUUCUUGACUCUGUUUAUUCAAGAAAUCCUUGCUGACCACAGAGUGAAUACAGAAACACCACCUUAUCGUCAGACCCAAUCAACAAAAAAUCACACGAUUGAGAGGAUGUGGCCUGAAAUUAAUAACAGGGUUAAUUACCAUUUGAAUGAGGCUCUUGUCCAGCUGGUCAACCAAGAACUCAUUGAUAUGGACUGCAACCUAACAAGAUACUGUGUGUCUAACCUUGUCCAUCAACUGUGUCAUCUGGGCAUAAGCAGGGUAGCAGAGGCCUGGAACAACUUCAGGAUUCCUGGAAAAGGAAUCCCCAACCAGCUUGCACAGGGUGGUUGUGCAAAAAAAGAUAAAAAAAAAAAAAAUCUCAGCAGCACUACUGCCCCAUGGAAUUGAAGCAGCUGAUCUGUACAUGGACACAAUGGGAUCCUCUUUGACAAGGGUUUCUGCCUUUGGAAUGGACCCUUUCACAAGUGAACAUAAGAAGGCUACAGUGGAACAACUGUUUUCUGAGAAGUGUCCAGACAUCACUGAUUUGCUCA